AAAUUGAAGAGUUUGAUCAUGGCUCAGAUUGAACGCUGGCGGCAGGCCUAACACAUGCAAGUCGAACGGUAACAGGAAGAAGCUUGCUGCUUCGCUGACGAGUGGCGGACGGGUGAGUAAUGUCUGGGAAACUGCCUGAUGGAGGGGGAUAACUACUGGAAACGGUAGCUAAUACCGCAUAAUGUCGCAAGACCAAAGAGGGGGACCUUCGGGCCUCUUGCCAUCGGAUGUGCCCAGAUGGGAUUAGCUUGUUGGUGGGGUAACGGCUCACC
rnacentral:rRNA from 1 species